rnacentral:rRNA from 1 species
GAAGUACUUGGUUCUGAUGCAAUGUUGGCGGCUGCCUCGUGAUGACACAAUGUAGGAAAUUUCCGUUAUGUGGUAUGAUAUCUAGCAAGGUGUAAAUAGAGAAAUUUGGGGUGGAAGCCUUUAUAAGGCUUUCUGAACUUAGUUGGAGGAGUAUCAAGUUUUGAUGACGCUGGUUUCUUAUACACAACUCAAGUGCAUAGACCUGUGAAUAUGGGUGUAAGCCCUAUCCGGUGGUGGUAGAAAGAAGAAGUAGCAAAAGAAGGUGCCAGCAGCUGCGGUUAGUCCUGAUUACAAGCUUCUGUCAACAGAGGAAUGGCUAAAAAGAUGGUUAGGAAGUAAGAGAGAUCUCGUUAAGCUGUGGUUGACUAAUUCUGUGGGGGAGAGUUGAAAUUCAAAGAUCCCGGGGAGAAGUUCAUAGAAGCCAUGAUUCUGAUGCCAUGAAGUUUAAAAUAUAAACGGGGAUUUGGUACCCCCUUAUUUUUAAAUGUUAAAUUGCGUUUAAUUUUAGUGCGCUGCCUGGGGACUACGAGCAAUUGCUUAAAACUCAAAGAACUUGGCGGUGUUGGAUACCAUUCAGGGGAACUUGACGCUUAAUCUGAUGAUCCGCGUAUUACCUUACCCUUCAUUGAAAAAUCAGGCUGUAUAUCCCCGUCUAAAGUCUUUAGUUUGAGCUAGUUAAAAUAGGCUAAAUAAUUAUAUUGGUUUCUAGGACAGGUCGAGAUGCACCUAAUGGAAGGGGGUUAGUUGAGUUACAAUUGCUUAAGAGUAGUGGAUAGAACUUGAAAUAGGUUUGAUUGAAAGAGGACUUGACAGUACAGCUAAAUCAGCACGUUAGCUAGAAAAGUUGAACCCCAACGCGUACAAAUCGCCCGUCGCCCUCUCUGAAAGUGGAGGUAAGUCGUAACAUGGUAGGGGUAGGGGAACCUGUUCCUUAGAUAUA